CAAAUCCAGCUCCAGCCUGUUUUUGUAUGGCCUGUGAGCUAAGCAUGGUUUUUACAUUCUUAAAUAUUGAAAAGAAAAUCAAAAGAAGAAUAAAUAUUUUAUGACAUGUGAAAAUGAUAUGAAAUUCCAGUUUCAAUGUCCACAGAUGAAGUUUUAUGGGAACACAGCCACACUUGUUCUUUGUGUAUUCGUGCCCCAAGAACAGAAUUCAGCAUUUGUGAUGGAGACCAUAUGACCUGCAGAGUCUAAGUAUUUGUUGUGUGGACCUUUCCAGAAAAAGUUUGUUCACCUUGGCCUGGUGGAGUAAUAUUGGCAUCAAGGUCUUUGGUAGUGCUCACUUGGCAGGAGUCCAAAUUGAAGUUCUCCUUGAAGAUUCCUGUAAAUGGGUGAUUGGUAGAGGGAGUCACCCUCUAGCCAUCUGGGAGGCACAGCUGUGAUGCUCAGCCAGAUCCAGAGGCCUGAUCUCCAGGGUGUUCACCAGCCACGUGGCAUCCUCCCAGUUUCCCAGGGCAAAGAUGCAGAUCAAAGCGCCGUGUCAGUUCACACAUGGAACACAGUCAUCUCCAGGUAGGUAGACUGGACCACACAGUGCCAUUGGCCUCUUUCUCUAGAGAGGGAGGCUCGAAGGUGGAGAACACAAACAGGCUGUGGACUGCCUUGGCCCCACAAGAGUCUCAGGCCCCAGGCCCUAGAACUUCAGCAGGAGAGGCGAGUUGAAGAAAACCACCCCAAAGGAAAGGAGGAGCAGAGCAAAUAUCUCCCUGAGCUGCCAAGACCCAUCUAAGCAGUCUGCUGGAUCCAAGCAGGGGACAGCAAUGUGAGGAAUGGGGAGGAGAGCAAGCUGUGCACGAGAUGCCACCCCACAAGGAAACACCAAGGGACUGCCAACAUCGUGCUCCGGGUCCUGCCUACCCAUCUGAGGACAUGUCUGCUCAUCACCCAUGUGCAUCCUGUCACAGUGGGACCUGCGUGUGUUCCCUGCUCAUUGUCACUUCCAUAGUUUUGCUGAUUCUAUGCGAUUCUUCCAGGCCACUCCAAGUUCCACCUCUUCCACGAAGCCCUCCUUGAUUGCUGGGCCCUAGUUGAACUCCUUAUUAGUAACACCCAGAGUUCUCAAAAAGGCAUUCUAGGAAGUCCUGUAAAAUACAUGCUCAUAAAAAUCUCAUAAUUUCCACAAAUUGUUGAGAACUUAAAAACUCGGUUGGGAGUUUGCUGUUUCCGCCUGAGACACCUGGCUCACGUUUCAGUGCUUGCAGUCCUGAGACAGUACCAGGCAUCCGGGAUGAAGCUGGGGAAAGAAGAUGUGGAGGCCCUGCUGGCCUGCUCCUUCUCUCGAGAGACGCUUACCGGCUGCUGGCUCCAUCACUGGUGUGUCACAGGGCUUUAGGAUUUGGAAAAACAGAGGGAUUUAAAAGAAGACAGAAUAGUCAGAAUUUAGAGAACCGUGUGCUGAAGUGCCAUCUUUAGGGUGCUCAUAACACGACCCUACGACAUUAGAGGUGCUGGAAUCAUGGAAGAGGAAUCCGGACUCUGUAAUGUCCUUCCCCCUGGAAAAUCUGCUCCAGAAGUGGGGGAUUGGGAGCUGUCAACAUAUGAACCAUCUUUUGCUCUGUUCAAGAUGGUAGGGGCAUUCUCGACAUGCCCCUCACUCUGAUUCUGCCUCACUUUUAUUUUAGAAUUUUCCACUGCCUCUUCUGGAAUGUGCUUUUUCAACCCUCAAAAUCUGUAGAGAAGAAAUAAGCAGAAACUGAAAAGGCUUUCUGGUGUUCUCCAUGCUCUCAGCUUACUGGAAAAUUGAGCCUCGGGCUUGAGGCUGGACUUUUAGGGAGAGCACUGCAAUCAUAGUGCUAUGGCCUUGCCUUCCUUUCUCAUCACCCAGGUACAGUCCUGCAGUCCUCAGAGGAUGCCAGUCCCACACAGGGGGAUCCUUCUCCAUAGGAAAACCGAGGAACAACACAGGUUCGAUGUGUAAGAUGGCUAAGCACAUUCGGUCCUCAAGGUCUUUCCUCUCAAAUGCUAAUGCUACCUCGAGAUGGGCUGCUGCCUGCUACCAUUUCAACAUCGAGUCCUUUAAGAUGCUAUCAGAGAGAGAGGGGAAGCAAGAGGCCAAGAAAAAUGACAGGUAAGCACAAGACCAGUAGAAUGAGUGGGGAGAUCUGUCCGUCUGUCUGUCUGUUUGUUUGUUUGUUUGAAGUGUCUUCUACUUGACUGCAGUUACUAUUCUUCAAGUGAGGGCGAAGUGCUUCUCUUCUCCUUUCUGAUAGCUCCGCAGCUCUCUAAGUAAACUAUUUGACAAACACAUCGCAGCAGCGAGUGGAAACAUGUCUGAGACGCUGCAGCAUAGCCCGGCUGGUUCUGUUCUUAGCAGUAUUUGCUAAGUUGCAUCCAUUAGAAUGUUUUUAAACAAUGGGAUGCAUGUCAUCUUGAUUUGACAGGAUAAUCCUGAGUUUAUAGAAUUUCAUCACAGUGUGUGAAACUGGUUUUUAACUUCACUAUACUGGCCCUCAGCGGUGAAGUAAACUGGGCACUGAAUAGAAAAAUCUCCCUCCUCCAUAUUGUCCCCAGCCCACCACAUUUCGCCCUAAGCUCUGCCCUGCACCAACGCCAGACUUCUACUGGAGUUUGGCAGCUGUGGCAACCACUGGCUGUCUCUCAACCACUUCACAAUAUGUAUCAAUGUAUUCUACAAAUCAUUGUGUUUGCCGAGCAUUCUAUUACUACACAGUUCUGAUUCAACUGACAUGUAUCUUAGAGGUCAAUAUCUUUUCUUUUUUCCUUCACUUGGCUAGGACUCCAUAGGAAACAGCUAUUUGAGUGAUGAUAUAUAGGAGAAGGAUAGUACUGUAUUUAACUGUCUGUUAAUAUCAGAGAAGAUAAAUAUUUUUCACCUCCCUGUAGAUAGCUAUGCAUAAGCUUGGUAUUCAUUUAUGAGCAAUGUAGCAUUUUAAAAGCCACAACUGAUUUACUUAUAUUAAGUCAAUAUAAAUAAAUUAUGUUAGUAAAUUGCGAAUUUUGAAAGUUGUAAUCAACAUCGAAAAUGAAAUGUCUUGGUUGUCCACUUAAAUUAUAUAAUGCAAUUUUAACACAGUAAAAAAAAAAUCACCUAGCGUAAUAGUGAGAGUUUGAAUCAUUAUUAGUUAGAUUCUUGUUUGUAUUAAUUAAGAAUUUCACAGACAUUGUUUGUAAGUGAAAAAGAUAUUUUAAAUAAAUAUUUAG